GUUACCAGCACGUUAUGGUGGGCACUCUAAGGAGACUGCCGGUGACAAACCGGAGGAAGGGUGGGAUGACGUCAAGUCAUCAUCGGCCCUUACGGCCGUGGGCUACACACGUGCUACAAUGGUCGGUACAAAGGGUUGCCAAGCCGCGAGGUGGAGCUAAUCCCAUAAAACCGAUCGUAGUCCGGAUCGCAGUCUGCAACUCGACUGCGUGAAGUCGGAAUCGCUAGUAAUCGUGAAUCAGAAUGUCACGGUGAAUACGUUCCCGGGCCUU
rnacentral:rRNA from 1 species